rnacentral:rRNA from 1 species
UUAACGAAGGCGGACGGGUGAGUACACCUGGGUAACCUAGCCUGUAAGACUGGGAUAACUCCGGGAAACCGGAGCUAAUACCGGAUAGUUCCUUGAACCGCAUGGUUCAAGGAUGAAAGACGGUUUCGGCUGUCACUUACAGAUGGACCCGCGGCGCAUUAGCUAGUUGGUGAGGUAACGGCUCACCAAGGCGACGAUGCGUAGCCGACCUGAGAGGGUGAUCGGCCACACUGGGACUGAGACACGGCCCAGACUCCUACGGGAGGCAGCAGUAGGGAAUCUUCCGCAAUGGACGAAAGUCUGACGGAGCAACGCCGCGUGAGUGAUGAAGGUUUUCGGAUCGUAAAGCUCUGUUGUUAGGGAAGAACAAGUGCAAGAGUAACUGCUUGCACCAUGACGGUACCUAACCAGAAAGCCACGGCUAACUACGUGCCAGCCCGCCGCGGUA